rnacentral:rRNA from 1 species
GGGUACUGCUAUCGGAGUUCGACUAAGCCAUGCAAGUCUAACCCUAGGACUUCCUGGGGUGGCAGACUGCUGAGUAACACGUAGUCAAUCUACCCUAUAGACGGGGAUAACCUCGAGAAAUUGAGGACAAUACCCGAUAUUCCUCUUAUGCUGGAAUGCUUAGAGGUUUAAAUGGGCGGUGAAUUGGAGCCGUUCCGCUGUAGGACGAGACUGCGGGGGAUUAUGGUUGUUGGUAGGGUAAUGGCUUACCAAGCCGAUAAUCUCUAGGGGCCAUGAGAGUGGUGGCCCCCAGAAGGACACUGAGACAAGGGUCCUAGCCCUACGGGGUGCAGCAGGCGCGAAAUCUCUACAAUGCUGGAAACAGUGAUAGGGGGACUCCGAGUGGUGUCAGCUAAGCUGGCAUCUUUUGCCAAGUGUAAAUAGCUUGGAGAAUAAGGGUGUGGGCAAGACUGGUGGCAGCCGCCGCGGUAACACCAGCGCCUCAAGUGGUACCCACGAAUACUGGGCCUAGAGCGUUCGUAGCCGGCCAAGUAAGUCUUCUGUGAAAUAGUGUGGCUUAACCACACUGCGUGCAGGAGAUACUGCUAGGCUUGGGAACGGGGGAGGUCAGGAGUACGCCCGGGGUAGGGGUAAAAUCCUUUGAGCCUGGGCGGACUACCAGUGGCGAAGGCGCCUGACCAAAACGUGUCCGACGGUGAGGAACGAAAGCUGGGGGAGCGAACGGGAUUAGAUACCCCGGUAGUCCCAGCCGUAAAUGAUGCAGACUGUGGUGUUGCUGCAGAGUUAAUCUGUAGCAGUGCUGUAGCGUAGGUGUUAAGUCUGCCGCCUGGGGAGUACGGCCGCAAGGUUGAAACUUAAAGGAAUUGGCGGGGGAGCACCACAAGGGGUGGAUGCUACGGUUU